UAAAUUCAUUUGUUGACUCUUAGUUCACAACAAACUGAGAUGUCAUCAUUAUUAAUCCUCGUGAUUCAACUUGCUGCAAAUAACCAUCAUUCAUUGUUGUUGUUAAUUAUGUUGCUAUUAUCAGUAUUUUAUUUUUUCAAUUGUCAUGGCGAAUCAAGAUCGAAAAUUAGUUGCUCAAGUGACAGAUGGUCCAACAAUUAAAUCUAAAACUACUGCUCUAAUUUCUGAUGACCAAUAUAUUUUAAAUGACAACGUAAAAACCAACAUAUCAUGUGCAUAAUAAAAGUACUUUUAAUCGAAAGCCACGUAUAAACCACUUGAUCCAAAUGAUCAAUCAAAAACAUGAAGUUGAUAAAACUAAAAAUGCACCUUCAUCGACUAAUGCUCUUAGCUGAAAAAAAAAAAAAAGAAAACCAGGUUUGAAGAAAAAUAAUUCUUGUUGGUCACUAAAAAUUGUAUUAGGAAAUAUUACGUCCAACUAAAGUUAAAAAGUUCUUGCAGCAACUUAUAAUUAUAUUCAAUAAGUUAAUUUAUUGAGAAAAUUACAUGAUGAUGGUACUCAAUCUUGGUUUUACAAACGCAUCUUAAGUCAGAGCUUAGAAAUGUACCGAAUGAUACUCUUGAAAAUUUUUAUGAUUUUUUAGAGUGCUUAGACAAUAUUGGAAUACAACCAUCAAGAGUACAAUUAUGUCUUGUUGUUAUCAAAAAAAAUAUCUUAUCUGAAUAUAUGCUCAGUACUUUUUUUCAUGAUAAGUACUGCAAUUUUUUGCAAAAUAAUUUUAUGUUAAGAAAGAAAAUGAUAAUAUGAAUGCUUGUGGCAUAGACAAGGUCACAAAAGUGCAUUAUAAUUUUUAAAUAAUAUUUACAUACUACCUAUAGUAAUCUAAACAUAGAACAUACUUUAAUGCUUUAAAUUAUAUUGCACUUG